rnacentral:lncRNA from 1 species
AACCAGUGGUAAAGGGAGGAGUUUGGGAAGAAAAUAAUUCGACAGUAAAAAAUAAGACUAAGAAAAAAAAAUAAAGAGAAAGCCAAUUCUAGGCCGAAAUUUUGAGAGAAGAGGAAAAAAAAGUUAUUCAAAUUCGGCACCAACUCUCAUCAUAUCCUCAAAAUCCUUACUACUAACCCACCAUAAUUCCCUCAACAAC